rnacentral:rRNA from 1 species
GACGAACGCUGGCGGCGUGCUUAACACAUGCAAGUCGAACGGAAAGGCCCUGCUUUUGUGGGGUGCUCGAGUGGCGAACGGGUGAGUAACACGUGAGUAACCUGCCCUUGACUUUGGGAUAACUUCAGGAAACUGGGGCUAAUACCGGAUAGGAGCUCCUGCUGCAUGGUGGGGGUUGGAAAGUUUCGGCGGUUGGGGAUGGACUCGCGGCUUAUCAGCUUGUUGGUGGGGUAGUGGCUUACCAAGGCUUUGACGGGUAGCCGGCCUGAGAGGGUGACCGGCCACAUUGGGACUGAGAUACGGCCCAGACUCCUACGGGAGGCAGCAGUGGGGAAUAUUGUACAAUGGGCGGAAGCCUGAUGCAGCAACGCCGCGUGCGGGAUGACGGCCUUCGGGUUGUAAACCGCUUUCGCCUGUGACGAAGCGCGAGUGACGGUAAUGGGUAAAGAAGCACCGGCUAACUACGUG